UCAAGAAAUCCUUACCAAGACCAGUGUCAGGAAGGUUUCCCCUGUGCUUUCUCCUAGGAGUUUUUGGCUUUCAGGUCUUACAUCAUUUAAGUCUCUAAUGCAUUUUGAGCAGAUUUUUGUGUAUCGUGUAAGAUAAGAAUCGAACCCAUUUUUUGCAUGUGGAUAUCCACUUUUCUCAACACUGUUUUCGAGGAGACUAUCCUUUCCCCGUUGGAAAGUCUUUGCAUUCUUGUCCAAAAUUUCUGUUUGUUUGUUUUAAAAUAUGGGGGCAGCAGGGGAGUCCUAGGAUGAGAAACAUCUGGGUUCCCUGGCGCUCAGGGCCCCUCCUCCCCUGGUCGUUGAGGAGUGUGGCUCACAUCACCUGUUAUGAAACCCUACAGGCCGCGGCCUCUUCCACCCCUCGUUAGAGAGGCCGGGUGGGUGCAGCCUGCUCUCCAGGCCUCGCGCUGCCCGCCCGGGGAAGGGACCCGGAGCCCAGCGAUGCAAGUGAACUGUGCAUGCGCGGCACUUGCCAGCGCGUGCAGAACCCGGGGUGCCGAGCUUCUGGCGGGAGUCCCGGCCCCUUCGGUGUCCUGGUCCGAGGCCGCGUCACCUCCCACGCACCUUUCCAUCGUCCCCGGGGCCAGGGGUUGCUCCUGGAGCUUCGAGGUCCCCAAACACAAGCCAGAUGAGAUGGAUGAACCAAAGCUGAAGUGAAGCAAUUGGAUGGCCAUCCUAGCAGAGAAUGUUCCUUGUUUCCCAUCACUUUGCUGGAGCACAGUUUACAGUCCAAAGAAUUGUGUUGGCUGUUGUGAAGUCCAUGAGAGAGCUUGCUAAAUUUGCUUAUACAAUCUAGAAGUUUGUUUUUUAGAUUCCUCAGAAUUUUCUACAGAGUCAAUCAUGUUUUCUGUGAAUAGAUUAACAUAUGUUUUCCUAUCCUAACUUCAUGUUUUUAAAAAAUUUUUUAUAACUUUGUUAUACCUUUGGUACAAUAUUUAAUAAAAGUGAUGAGAGUGGCUAUCUUUGCUUUGUUUCUGUUUUUAGGGGGAAAACAUUCAGUCCUUAAUCAUUAAGUAUGAUAGUUGUAGUUUUUCUUUAAAUACUCUUUAGCAAGUUAAAGAAGUGUCUUUCUAGUCCUAGUUUACUUGAAAUUUUUCUCAUGAAUGGAUGUUGAAUUUGAGGUGAUUAUUUGAAUAUUCUCUUUAGUUUGUUAUAGUAGUGAAUUCCAUUGAUUGAUU
rnacentral:lncRNA from 1 species